CUACGGGGCGCAGCAGUGGGGAAUAUUGGACAAUGGAGGAAACUCUGAUGCAGCAACGCCGCGUGGAGGAUGACACUUUUCGGAGCGUAAACUCCUUUUAUAUAGGAAGAAGAUGACGGUACUAUAUGAAUAAGCGCCGGCUAACUCCGUGCCAGCAGCCGCGGUAAUACGGAGGGCGCAAGCGUUACUCGGAAUCACUGGGCGUAAAGAGCAUGUAGGCGGAUUAAAAAGUCAGAAGUGAAAUCCUAUAGCUUAACUAUAGAACUGCUUCUGAAACUCUUAAUCUAGAAUAUGGGAGAGGUAGAUGGAAUUUCUGGUGUAGGGGUAAAAUCCGUAGAGAUCAGAAGGAAUACCGAUUGCGAAGGCGAUCUACUAGAACAUUAUUGACGCUGAGACGCGAAAGCGUGGGGAGCAAACAGGAUUAGAUACCCGGGUAGUC
rnacentral:rRNA from 1 species